CUGCUCAUGCUUAAUGUCAAUAGCCGCAGUAUCUUGACUGUGCUAAGGUAGCAUAAUCAUUAGGCUUUUAAUUGAAGUCUGGAAUGAAAGGGAAAAUGGGCAUGAUUUGUCUCAGCUAGACUUCUAAGAAGUUGUUUUUUAAGUGAAAAAACUUAACUAUAAUUUUAAGACGAGAAGACCCCAGGAAUUUAAAAUACUUUAUCUGGGGCGGAGUAAAAAAAACUACUUUUAUUCUAGUAUACUUUUUAUCAUAUUAAAUAAUUGCUAAAAUUACCCUGGGGAUAACAGCAAAAUAGUUUACUGUUUUUGACCUCGAAUGUUGGACUAGAAAAUAAAGAAACUAGAAGUUUUUUAUAUUAUGUUCCUGUUCGAACGUAUUUUUCUACGUGAUCUGGAGUUCCAG
rnacentral:rRNA from 1 species